GACGAACGCUGGCGGCGUGCUUAACACAUGCAAGUCGAACGGUGAAGGAGAGCUUGCUCUCCGGAUCAGUGGCGAACGGGUGAGUAACACGUGGGCAACCUGCCCCAGACUUCGGGAUAACGCUUCGAAAGAGGUGCUAAUACCGGAUACGAACUCCUUGGGCAUCCUUGGAGUUGGAAAGUUUUUCGGUCUGGGAUGGGCCCGCGGCCUAUCAGCUUGUUGGUGAGGUAACGGCUCACCAAGGCGACGACGGGUAGCCGGCCUGAGAGGGCGACCGGCCACACUGGGACUGAGACACGGCCCAGACUCCUACGGGAGGCAGCAGUGGGGAAUAUUGGACAAUGGGCGCAAGCCUGAUCCAGCAAUGCCGCGUGUGUGAAGAAGGCCUGCGGGUUGUAAAGCACUUUAAGCAGGAAAGAAGGGACGGGAGUUAAUACCUUUCGUCAUUGACGUUACCUGCAGAAUAAGCACCGGCUAACUC
rnacentral:rRNA from 1 species